rnacentral:rRNA from 1 species
AUGGUGGGGUCGCCCACGAAGCGGCUGGCGCGGCGGGUGAUGAGGAGGCCGCUGGAGAAGGCCGGGAUGGUGGGGCUCGCCGUGGUGGCCACGGCCACCGCCGCGCUGCUGCUGCUCGUCUGUGCCGCCUCGCUCCGCUGCUCCGCCGCCGUCGACUACGCGCUCGCGGCGCCCAGGAGGCUCUGGAGCGGCGGGGUCUCCAUCGCGGCCGAGGCGUCGCCGUCGCCGUCGGCGGAGAGGGGGAGCGGCGCCGUUAAGAAGGCGGCGGCGGCGGCGGCGGCGAUGGUGGUAGGGGAGGAGUGCGACCUGUUCGACGGGAGUUGGGUGUGGGAUGACACCUACCCGCUCUACGAGUCCAAGGACUGCCCCUUCUUAGACGUCGGGUUCCGGUGCUCGGAGAACGGCCGGCCGGACGCUUCCUAUGUCAAAUGGCGGUGGCAGCCGUCGCGCUGCGAUCUACCCAGAUUCGAUGCCAAAUUUAUGCUCGAGAAGCUACGGAAUAGAAGGGUGGUAUUUGUUGGUGAUUCAAUUGGAAGGAACCAAUGGGAGUCUCUGCUUUGUAUGCUCUCUAGUGCUGUUCCUAACAAGAAGUCCAUCUAUGAAAUUAAUGGGAGUCCCAUCACAAAGCACAUGGGUUUCUUGAUUUUCAAGUUUAGCGACUACAAUUGCACUGUGGAGUAUUACAGGUCUCCUUUUAUAGUCCUUCAAGGCCGUGCACCAGCUGGAGCCCCUAAGGUUGUUAAGUACACAGUUAGGGUGGACGCCAUGGAUUGGAUGUCGGGCCGCGGUAAGUGGAGCAGUGCUGAUAUUUUGAUCUUUAACACUGGGCAUUGGUGGAACUACGAGAAAACUAUCCGAGGGGGUGCCUAUUUCCAAGAAGGAAGUGAGGUCAAGAUGGAGAUGACUAUUACUGAUGGGUACCAAAAAUCAAUACGGACACUAUUCAAUUGGCUUCACAAAGAAGUUAACACAAGCAAGACCCACGUCAUCUUCCGUACUUAUGCUCCUGUGCACUUCAGAGGUGGUGACUGGAGGAGUGGAGGGAGUUGCCACUUGGAAACUCUUCCUGAUGCGACACCAGUUAAAUCACUGGAGCAAUGGGCUGACAUGCUUCAACCUGUGCAUAAUUUUCUUGGGAGCAGCAUCAGACCCAAGCUACCUGGGUUAGCUAUAUUGAACGUGACACAGAUGACAUCACAGCGAAAAGAUGGUCACCUCUCAGUAUACCUCAGCCCUUCAGGGCCUGUCCCUCUGCACAGGCAGGAUUGCAGCCAUUGGUGCUUGCCUGGAGUUCCUGAUACCUGGAACGAGCUUCUGUAUGCUGUCUUCAUGAAAAGGCAAACGGUGAUGGACCAAAAUGUUUCUCUUGCUGGCUCAACAACACUGAACACAGGCUGA